GGGACGGUGGAAGAGCCUGGCAUUCACACACUCUCGCCGAAUUUUCACCGGAGAUCCGGUGCGACGGUGAGAGUUCCUUCAUCUCACUUGUAACGAGAACACGCAGGUUCGAAUCCUGCCCGUCCCA
rnacentral:tRNA from 2 species